rnacentral:lncRNA from 13 species
UAUAAUAAUUUAUAAUAAUUUAUAUAACACGUUUUGUUUAAUUGAUGUUAUUUUCUUUAUUCUUGUGCUUUGACUGACUCGAAGUUUUUUGAAUUCGUUUAUGUUAUACAGUUAUAAGAGCAGCCAUCUUCUCUGUGGUACAAACUGACGCAUGUGCAUCGGAAAUUUGUCCCAUCGAAAAAAGUGGAGUGUCGGAACUGGUAUAUCUAGACUGUGACGCUAGUAAGACGGUGAGCGUCUCUAGCGUCCAAAAUAUGAAUCAAGCUAAAAACUACCUACUGGGCCGGCAAUAUCUAGGGAUGCUGAGAGUUAAGCUAGGGACACGAAAAGUAUGAGUACGACGGCGGAGUAGUAACCUUAGGAACGAGUUAGGAAUUUGUGAAUUUUCUGCUGGUUCUAACUUUAUGACUGAGAAGACUUGAGAUGAGGAAUUAUUUUUGAAUGGUGGGGGCGUCGAAGAGGUUACUUGAGUAUUCUUUAUUCGUACUGGAUAAUUUAAUAAAACUCGGUUUCUUUGUGCAAUUAUUAACUGACUCUUGGCCUAUGAUAUUGUAUAAAUGUGUCGUCAAAAUUUAUUGAUGCUGCAGCGAAAGCUGUUCUUAAUAACUAAAGAGACUAUUCGUGCUUGGAGCAUUAUCUUGUAAAACUAUUGCUAUUUGUUUGUCUAAUACUUUUAUUUUAUUAAUGUAGUUAUUUCUUAUUCGCAAAAGAUUUCCUAAUACUGUAUUAAAAGAAAGAGUCCUUCUUUCAGUCGCUGGUUUGUACCUGUUCAAAACAUGAAUCUUUAGAGCGUAGUGUAUUCUCGUGUGGUUGGUUCUGUAUUUUUCUUUGGGAGUGUACUAAAAUAAAGUUCUAUUUUAUCUAAA